AGAGUUUGAUCCUGGCUCAGGAUGAACGCUAGCGGCAGGCCUAAUACAUGCAAGUCGAACGGUGAUAGCAAUAUCAUAGUGGCGCACGGGUGCGUAACACGUAUGCAACCUACCUAUUAUUGGGGGAUAGCCUUUGGAAACGGAGAUUAAUACCGCAUAAUACGAUUGACUGGCAUCGGUUGAUUGUUAAAGCUUCGGCGAUAAUAGAUGGGCAUGCGUCCAAUUAGUUAGUUGGUUAGGUAACGGCUGACCAAGACGAUGAUUGGUAGGGGAUCUGAGAGGAUAAUCCCCCACACUGGCACUGAGAUACGGGCCAGACUCCUACGGGAAGCAGCAGUAGGGAAUAUUGGGCAAUGGGCGGAAGCCUGACCCAGCCAUGCCGCGUGCAGGAAGAAGGCGUUAUGCGUUGUAAACUGCUUUUUUAUAGGAAGAAGGAUCCCUUGCGAGGGAAGGUGACGGUACUAUAAGAAUAAGCACCGGCUAACUCCGUGCCAGCAGCCGCGGUAAUACGGAGGGUGCAAGCGUUGUCCGGAUUUAUUGGGUUUAAAGGGUGCGUAGGCGGUUUAUUAAGUCAGUGGUGAAAGACGGUCGCUCAACGAUUGCAGUGCCAUUGAUACUGGUAGAC
rnacentral:rRNA from 1 species